rnacentral:rRNA from 1 species
UGAGGAAUAUUGGACAAUGGGUGCAAGCCUGAUCCAGCCAUCCCGCGUGAAGGAUUAAGGUCCUAUGGAUUGUAAACUUCUUUUGUACAGGGAUAAACCUACUUACGUGUAAGUAGCUGAAGGUACUGUACGAAUAAGCACCGGCUAACUCCGUGCCAGCAGCCGCGGUAAU